rnacentral:rRNA from 1 species
ACAGCAGCAGCAGCGGGAAUACGAAGGGUGCAAGCGUUACUCGGAAUUACUGGGCGUAAAGCGUGCGUAGGUGGUGGUUUAAGUCCGUUGUGAAAGCCCUGGGCUCAACCUGGGAAUUGCAGUGGAUACUGGGUCACUAGAGUGUGGUAGAGGAUAGUGGAAUUUCCGGUGUAGCAGUGAAAUGCGUAGAGAUCGGAAGGAACAUCUGUGGCGAAGGCGACUAUCUGGGCCAACACUGACACUGAGGCACGAAAGCGUGGGGAGCAAACAGGAUUAGAUACCCGCGUAGUCCCUGUCUCUUAUAC